GACGGAGGGUGCAAGCGUUGUUCGGAUUGACUGGGCGUAAAGGGCGUGUAGGCGGUCGGCCAAGUCUGAUGUGAAAGCCCGAGGCUCAGCCUCGGAAGUGCGUCGGAAACUAGUCGGCUGGAGCGCGAUAGAGGAGGGUGGAAUUCCCGGUGUAGAGGUGAAAUUCGUAGAUAUCAGGAAGAACACCCGUGGCGAAAGCGGCUCUCUGGAACGGUACUGACGCUGAGACGCGAAAGCGUGGGGAGCGAACAGG
rnacentral:rRNA from 1 species